GCAUCCAGCACGGCAGCGUUCCCCACCCUCGCGUCGCAUCCCAAUUCGUUAAUCCCAUCGCCUUCCCCGAUCCCUCUCGAGUCUCCUCCCCUCCGCUCCCCCGUCCCCUCCCCCCUUCCUCCUCUCGGAUCCGCCACCCCGCGGCCCGCCCCUCGCCGCCGGCGACCAUGUCCAAGUACGGCACCAUCCCCACCUCAUCCUCCUCCGCCGCGGGGGCGGCUCACCUCGGCGGCGCCUCCCCGCUCGACUUCAUCUCCCGCGCCAAGGCCCGCGGCGCGACGGCGCUGGCCACCCGCCGGCCGUGGCGCGAGCUCGCGGACGUGCACGCCAUCGGGCUGCCCCCGAGCCUCGGCGACGCCUACCUGCGCGUGCGCGCCAACCUCGCCCACUUCGCCAUGAACUACGCCAUCGUCGUCCUCGUCGUCGUCUUCCUCUCCCUCCUCUGGCAGCCCAUCUCCCUCAUCGUCUUCCUCGUGUGUAUGGUCGGCUGGCUCGUCCUCUACUUCCUCCGCGACGAGCCUGUCGUCCUCUUCGGCCGCGUCGUCGGCGACGGCGUGGUCCUCGCCGUGCUCGCUGUUGUCACGCUCAUCCUGCUGCUGCUCACCGGCGCGACCACCAACAUCCUCACAUCGCUGCUCAUCGGCUUCGUGCUCGUCGUGGUGCACGCCGCUCUGCACAAGGCGGAGGACAACGUCGACGAUGAGGUCGGCCGCUGGUACGCGCCAGUGCCAGCGCAGCCGUCUCACUAGUGUGAGAUUGCUCGCCCUCCAACUCUUGGUUCGUGGCUCGUCCAUAUUAUUGUUCAGUGCCGUGUAUGCAUUUCUGUUCUUCCUACUGCUAGAUGGUGUACAAUUUGUCAAUGUGUGCUUGCUGUGCUAUUGUCGUUCCUGAACAUGAAUGCAAGUGGUGAUGCUUUGUGUACUCAUAUUUUCCCGAAUUUUACCUGUGUAGUUCAUAGAUAUGAGCAGCUGAGUGUGCAAUUGGGUCUCAAACAAUCUCACGGUCAUGCUACAUGUUUGGUUUGUUUGUCAUAUAAAUUACCUGGUCAAGGAGAUCCCUUUCUGUUCCAUGGAUAAUUGAGAUAUUGCCUUUACAAAGUGAGAUUGAGACGUCUUGCAGUUCCAGAAGUCCCUUACACUUCAUUGUACCUGACUUUUCACUAACUUGUAAAAAAGAAGAAAAGAGAUAUCUAAAUGGCGGCUGGUCUAAAAUAUCUCUAAAUGUAUCUGCUAGCUCUGCCAGAAUUUCAUAAAUGGUUCAGUGAAUGUAAUUUGAUUGACAGAGUUUGCGGUAUGGCAAGCAGUUGUCACUAUCAGGCUGCCCAAUCUGAUAAAAUAGUUUUAGCAAUCUUAUCGUCUCUUUACACCCUGUAACCAUAGUGUAGCUCCCUGUUUAUAGUUGCGGAUCGUGUAUCUAUGUGCUUGUUUUUUAUGGAGGGCAGAAUCAUUGGAAGUGCCAGCCAGAAGAAGACGGAUGUAUGCAAUUUGAAAAUGGUCCGAGAGACAACCCUGGCCUGACAGGCCCUACACUAAGAGUCGUCUGGAAGUAGUGGGAGGCAAUUCCUUGCCCACUGCUCUUCCCACAAGGGAGGGCCUGAGUGUGCUCGAUUCUCCUUGUGUCCUCCCUUCGUUCUCAAGUAUUCUGUGAGUGUAAGUUUAGCAUUGGUAUAUGGUCUCGGCCCAGUCAGGAUGAACAAGAACUUGUAGCUGGUGGUUGGUCUUGCGCACGACACUGGUUCAUCAGAAGCUUUUGAUCCAGUAAUGAUGGACGGCUGUAAACUUUGGUCGUUGCGUACAGUUCAAAGAUUCCCCCUUCUUUACAUGUACGUACCAAUUAUGGGAGACAACGAAUCUACACUCUGAAGUGUGAGAAUUUAGCUGGCAGGGGCCCUCUGUGAGGCUGGUAUACAUUACUUCGUGCUGGCAAUUUCUGAUUUGCUCACGUGGUUUCAUCUUGUAUACACACGGUUUUGUUUGAAGGAGAUUGUCCGUUCGGUGCCAA